AGGAGGAACAACCCCAGCGGCGGCGGCAGCUCUGGAGCCCUGGAGUCAGCUCCUGCUGUAACUACAGAGCUCUCCGCCUGCGCCGUUGGAUUCCCGCUCCCGG
rnacentral:pre_miRNA from 1 species